rnacentral:lncRNA from 1 species
GACACAUGUCAAUGUGACAAAGCUACAAGUUUUUCUAUAAAUAGGGGCCAUUCCCCCACAAUAUUGGCUAAUGCCAUUUGUGUUAAAUCAUUCACAAGAACUCACUAAAUUGAGAGCUUGAUCCUUUGUACUUGUGUAAGCCCUUCACUACUAAUAAGAACUCCUCUACUCCGUGGACGUAGCCAAUCUGGGUGAACCACGUACAUCCUGUGUUUGCUUCUCUGUCUCUAUUCAUUUACGUACUUAUCCUCACUAGUGACCGAAGCAACCAAGCGAAGGUCACAAAACCUGACACUUUCUGUUGUACCAAAGUCUUCGCUGAUUUUGUGCAUCAACAAAAUAUAUUGCUUCCAUGAAAAGGUAUCGUAGGAAGUAGCAGUAGCGGAAAAGUGGCGUCUAAGCAAAAGGCUUUUGUGGGAUUUUGUCCCUUCGUUCAUAUGAUAUCAUCUUGGUUUCAUCAGGAUUUGAGGUUGACUCGGAUAACUUACCUAUAACACCAUUGACCGUACAAUUCAUGUCCACGUGAAUAGUAAUCCUGCAUGUUACGCCACGUACGUCUGAUCAUCAGCUACUAGUUUUUAGUUUAGUAGUAUUUUUAGGGUUCGUAGACUUUUACGGGAAAAGAAUGUUACAUACUCUUAAACAAGUUAAAGUUUCAUCUAAAAAUCAAUUUCAUUAUAUGUUUGUUUGCAAAAUUGCUUAACAUUCUGAUACACGUUUUACGCUUUAUGUUUGGCGACCCUUAAGUCAAACAAGCGGUCAAUACUUAUCGGGCAUACAUGUGGUUAUUGAGCUUCACACAUAGACUAGUUUGCUCUACUCGCCUAACUCCUUAUAUGUCUAUACAAUCUCAGGGACCACUUCUAUUGAUUUCAAAUUUCAGGGACCAGAGUGAUGUGUUAAGCAAAUCUCGGGACUAUUUUGGCUAAAAAGCCUAACUUGAUUGAUUAAGAACAUUCACUUGUACAUUCUAAAUCUCGAAUUUAACCCUCCUCCGAAUACAAUUGUAUAGAAAAAAUUGUACAACAUCAGAACUUCAGAAUGUAGAAGUAAGCACACAUGGUCAAGUUGUUACCAAGGCAUCAAUUUCCUCACUCACAUUAAUAGUAUUGUAUUUGGUAAAAUAUUGACCUACAUAGUAAUCUGAAUUUCUUAAUUAAAAUCUCAUGAAAUUAAGAGUUUGGCAAUUGGUUAAUUGGGUGAAGAAUGUUGCGGAAUAUAAGGAGAAAAGAAUUGUUCAUGUCAACAGCCAACAGUUGUCUUUCUUGGCAUAUACAUGACUUGCAGUACAUAAGUGGACCAUGUGACAAUUUGUAUACUCAUUCUUCCAUUGAUUUUAGGGCAAGUCAAUAACAACUACACUUGACUUUUUAUAUAUCUUACUAUUAAGUUACCUUUGUUCUUUGUUUUAUUAGUUGACAUAUGAUUGAAACCAUAUGACAAAGAAAAUUAGUUUUUUAUAAUCUUUAGCAGAGAUUAAUGAUGAUGAUCAUGACGACGAUGGUGAUAAUAGUGAUGGUGGUAGAUAGAUACACGUUGAUCAGGCAAAAGAGGACUAUUUCAUUGACAAAAACCUUCAAGUGCUGUCAUCUCUACGAGUCCAUGUCCCGACGGAACUCUUCAAUCACGUCUUCAAUCACGUGAUGGUGUGAUAUGAUCAGGGGGAAAAAAAAUUUAGGUCAGCCUGUCUGAUCACGUGACAUGUUCGACCACUCAACAUCGACAAACAUGUCGACACGUUAUCGAUUAUCGAGAUGUUCAUAUUGUCUACAUCUUGAUUACAUAUGCUUUUCAGUAAAAAGACUAAAGUAACUGGUUAUGUGCCAGUAUCUCUCCCCUCUCCUUGGUGGUAUGAACAAACUGCCCUAGUUCAUGUGCAAAAUAUGGUAGCUCAAAACAGAAAAGUAUGUAUGUCAUGAAAUACGUUCAGCUUUCAUUCACUCCACCCUCAUAUGUUCAUGCAGAAUAUAUGCUUUCCAGCUUGCAUUCCACAAGUGUGAGGGUGACUGGAAGAAAAUGACUUAACCUUGCAUUUAUCCUUAUCUACCCAGAGCACUAUAAAAAAUUAGCAGAGGGGCCAUUCAAACAGCAAUGAAGCCUUAUCCCAUUAAGUAGGGUCGACUAUAUGAAUCAUAGAAUGCCAUUGCGCUUGGUUAUACGCCAAGUCUUCCGUUAGCUCUAAGUAUUCCGUAUCUUUAAGAAAAAAAAAGGCCAUUCAAAUAAAAAAUGAAUCAACAGGUUCUCUUUCUGUAAUUGUACAACCAAAGAUUUUACAAUCUAAGUGAAACAACUUUAGUUAUGCAGCAAAGAAAGAAGAAUCUGCUAAAAACGCAUAAAAAAUAAAUAAAAGAAAAACAAUUUCCUUGAGCUAUACACAUGAGAUAAUGAUUAUAACUAAAGGAAUGAAAUGCAAAACUUGUAUCAUGAACAAAGUUUGGGCAAAGAUCUUGUACGGUUGUGGCUUGGUGAUUUCGAUUUCGUAAACUUUGACAUUUGAGAUUGCAUUUUCUUGCAAAGUUUUUCCAAUUCCAUGACCCUGCACUGCAUGCCUUGCAGAUGUGCUCUGAGCUUGUCAUUGUCAUCUGAGAGAUCAAUUUUCCCGGCAUAAAGCACAAGUUGUACAUUGGCAUCAUCUUUCCUCAAUCCCCUACUUUCGGCCUCAGUAAUGGCGCUAUAAGGGGAGUCAGUGUAGGACUUGGGAUUGUUGGUUGCGUGGAGUAAGCUUUUGAGCUUGGAUUGCUGAUAGACAAGAGCUUGGACUGCGGAUUUUGAUGGAAAUUUUGUGUUCUGUGAAAGAUGUACGUAAGUCUCUGCUGAGAGCUUCUCAUAGUUCAACACACAACAUAUCUUCAUCUUUUCUUCUUCGGACAAUCCUGGGUGUACCUAUGUCAAAGCAGAUCAAAACCAACUUCAAAUGAAUAAUCUUCAAAACAUGCUCGGUGUAAUUAGAUUUUCGAAAUGUGCUAUUUGAAUUCUUGGAUCAUAAGUUAUUAAAACAAAAUUUACAAGAGCAUAAAUUAUUUUGAGACAAAUCUAAUACCUGUAGAUACAUGUCUAUGGCAUGGUAAAGCUCAUCAUAAGAGACUCUCGCAGAAUCCGGCAGCGCGAUGGCUAAAGCCAGAAACUUUGAAGGCUUCAAACGAGGAUCUGGGGUUACUUCUGCUAUAUACAAAUCAACCAAGGCAGCAACUUUCCUUAAUCGCAUUGGGGGCCUGUCAGCUUGACAGGUUCCUCCGUCAUGCAGAAAUGAUUUCAAGAACCGUAGAACAAGAUUGACAUCAUACAAAUAAUUGAUUCCUUGUGGGGAUGGAACAAGCAAAUUGUCCAAUGUUGCUUGAUCUAGCUGUGAACCGAUCAUAUUCUCCAACUUAUUCCUAACACUUUUGUUUAAGUUCAAAUUCAGCGAAACUCGAAGAAUCCCAAAUAAGCUCUUGCAAGAAACACAGCUCUGAUCAAGCAUAUACAGCAUCUCAAUGACCAUUUCAGCAAUGGUGCGCUUGGUAUCAGAUUUGACAGUGUAAAACUUCGAUUUCUGGUAGUAAAAGAGGAACCUACUAAUGAUAACAUGAUCGAGUUUUCGCGAAACCAUGGCCUUGACCAGCAUUUCAACCAAAUUUGGACCUAAAACUAGAAGAUCCUCGAACCACCAGGUUGCUCGAGACAAGGUAGUUUUCAAACUCUCGGUGCUUCUAGUGUCGCACGAAAACCGAAUUCCAGAGCUAUCCGGAGAUGAUGUUGAAGGACAAGGACUCGCUUCGCUUGUCAAAGGCAAUCUUGCAACAAGGGUAUCCAAGCAUUUCUCAACUAGACUCAAAGAAUUUGCAACCGGAAGCAAAUCCUGGCACUGCUUCAAGGCCGUCAAAAGCUCAGACCAUGACCAAUACCUGAUCUCUUCAAACGAAUUCUCCGCUUUUUGUAACAAAUUAUGUCUACCGGCGACAGAAUUGUUCAUUUCCAUGAACUGCGCGGCGCAGUAAAGGAGGGAAAUGUUGGAAGGAGUUAUGUAAAUGCUGCCAUUGUUGUAGCAGAACCUCGCAAUCAGCUCGAAACUCUCUGCUCCUCCGGGAAAAUCAUGGAAUACCACUUUAAGAUUUCUUGAGGAAGCUUUUGAUUUACCAAGUAGUUUGCUCAAUUUUCCACAGUAGGAGGCAAUAGCUCUCUGCAAAAAUGGUCAUGAAACCAGAAUUACCACUCAUUUGCUGAAAAAUUCACCAAAGUAAUAAAAAAUAGUUGAGAGCUAGUAAAUAAGCACAAAAAAUCCAAUUUACAGAAAAACCCACCAAAGGGAUGAACUCAUUGAAUAGAAAAAUGAAUUAAAUAAAAAAAACAAAGUGGGAAUCUACAUUCUACACCAGAAAGGCAGAAGGUGCCAAAGAAAUGAAAAGAGGUCGUUAUAUGUAAUAAAUUGUGGUGUGGCAAUUGAGAAAAGAUGUCUGCCAAUCAUCCAAGGUUCCCUGCAGUGGAGGGCAAAAAGUGGCAAUAAAUACGGCCAUGAAAGUAACACCCUCUCACUCUCAGAGUCCAUAUCAAAAGAAGUGAAGAUUUGAGACUCCCAAUUCCCAUAACAGCAGCAAUAAAUGGGAGAGAAUGAAGCAAAACGGAAAAGGCGUGCAAUUUGUUGAAUUAAAAAGACAGAACCAAAAGAACAAAAAGCUAAGGCAGCCAUGAGUUCAUGACCCACAUCAAUGCAUUAUAGGUGUGAAAAUUAAAUGGUUGGGGACAAAAGGAUGAAUCUUUGCAAUCCAUCAGCCAUGGUGGAUAAACUGGAAAGUAACCCGGAUAAAAUUUACCAGAGAAUGUACGAAAUUUACAAAGUUCAUCAGUAAAACUUCACAAUUCAAGCACAAAAUGUUAUGACAAAAUUACAUUUGAACAGAAGAAGAAGAUGGGUUUUUGCUAUUAAAAAAAGGGAAAAUCUUUGCAAUUCAUCAGUCAAGAUGGAUAAAAUGGAAAGUAACCCAGAUAAAAAUUACCAGAGCAUGUAUGAAAUUUACAAACUUUAUGCAUAAAACUUGACAAUUCAAGCACAAAAGUUUACUACAAAAUUACAUUUGGACAGAUGAAAAUGUAUGGAACUUUUCUGUAAAAAAAUAAGAGGGUUUGAAACUAUUUGCAAGCACAGAAUUAUUACCUUGUCCACCAUGAAAGACUCUUCCCCAUUGACAUCCACUUCAAGAUCACAAUGAACUUCCAUAACCCAAAUGAUUAAAAAAGCUUAAAAACAAAAACCCACUUCAGAUCAAGAGUUGUUUUUGGGGACUUGCAAUCAGAAGAGCAAAAUAAGUUAUUUUUUAAGGGUGCAGCAGAGACAGAGAGGCGAGGAGGACAAAUGGGGAGGAGGAAGGGGACACAAAACCAUAUUCUGAAAUGGGGAAGAACACAAAGGGAAAGAGGUUGAGGGCUUUGGUUACUGGAAAAAAGAAUUGGAUGCUAUUGGUUCAGGCAGAAGCAAUGUGGUGGCUCUCGACUGGGGUUUUAGAGAAGUGAUAAUUAGCCAAGAGUGUAAAGACAGAUUAUACAUACAUGUAUAUAUAUAUAGAGAGAGAGAGAGAGAGAGAGAGAGAGAGAGAGAGAGAGCAGCUGAAGUUUGUAUUAGUAGACCACUAGCCAUUUUGGACAUUCCCAGUCCCAGAGAAAAUGCAUCUGUAAGCUUAGGAAAUCUAUUAAUUAAUUGAUUAGGUGAAAGUAUAAAUUAUUAGUGCAUAAUUGUUAAUGUUGGAAGUGGGAUUGUUCUUUUUGGGGUGAAGACCAUUAAAGCUUGGAAGUGAAGCUUUGUUGCUGGCUUGCUUUUCCUCCCCUCCCUCCCUCCCUUCGGUUUUUGGGCCACGUUCAUCGCUGCAAGUCUCUCUGUAGGUGUGCAGUGCGGUGCACCCAUUACAUCUCUCCCCGAUCCACUACUUUAUUAAUUGGGUUGAAUUUCCCUCUCUAGCAUGGAUUUGUUACGAGGUAUGCUAUCCACACAUUCCAUUUUACUUCUCACACACCUCUUGAUAAUUUAUGUCCGUUGAUCUUCUUCAAUUCAUCCGAUCCGACGGCCGAAAAGUAAAAAGGUGUGUGAGAAGUAAAAUGGAAUGUGUGGAUAUCACAUUCCUUUAUUAUUUGUACAUUGGGACCAUUUCAGAUUCUCCUUUCUAAUUAUUUAUUUUGUUUUGGUGGGAUUAUAUUUGGACGUUUGUUAUUGGGGGUGGGUUUGGAGGACCCCAUUUCUGUAUAGUUGGAGAGAUUUUUUAAUGUAUCAGGAAUAUUGAGUGGUACGUUAUAUGUUAUUAUACAAGUGGUUUGAAGUUUUGUUUUCAAGUGUCCAUCCAUUUGUAUUAUGAUAUGUGGCAUAUGUGUCAUUGAUCCAGACACAGUGAAAAAUCUCUCGUAUAGUUGGUCCUGUCAAAAGAUCCUACUUGAAUAAAACAGAGUAGGUUUUUCUCUCCUCCCCUCAUCUCUCACUUUCCUUUUAUUCUUUCUUUCUCUAUAACUGUGUUAACACAAGAUGGUGAUGUGAUUUAAUCGUAACCGUUUAAAUAUGAAGAGACGGGAGGAGAGGAGAAUUUGAUACGGAGAGAAUAUUACUCGUAUGUCUAUGCUCAAACUCGACUCAAAUGAAUUUUCAAGCUCGGCCCGGUUCGUUUAUGAACAAAGCUUGAGCUUUUGGGGUGGCUUCGCUAAGCACAACUGUGAAAAGAACUCAAGUUUUAGUUUUGAGUCGCCUUAAACUUUUUAGAUUUUAACUACAUUAAUAUAAUUUUGACGGUUUUUAUUACAAAUAAUCCUUUAUAUUUUGAGAACCAAUCGUUUUCGUCAUUUUUGUUUCGAUUCAAUCAAUUUGUUCUAGCAUGUUUGCUCCACAUGUCAAUUUGGUUCUUCCCGUCCAAACCACCCCGUCCCCCCUGCAGAUUUCCCCGACUGUCCACCCCCACCCCCCGACAUACCGAUAUCUUCCUACUGAAACUGUGCAAGGCACAAAUAUAUGAAGUCUUCUAUCCACCAUCUCUCUCUCUCUCUCUCUCUCUCUCUCUCUCUCUCUCUCUCUCUCUCUCUCUCUCUCUCUGUAUGUCAUGUUACGCCUCAAAUCCAAAAUUAGCAUGAGUUGCUGCAUCAAUGAGUUGGGUGAGUUCCUCCACAACCCAAACUGCAAGACCACCUUAUUGGUCUCCAUAUAUUAUAACCCAUGAGCGAAUGACUUGGUAUUUUUGCAUUUUGUAUUUUUAUGUUUAUUAAUUAAUUUAAGUAUUUGAAUCUAUUGAGACACCAUCUCAUUGUUUCGGAUUUUUGAGAAUGAGGAGCAUUAAUCUGUUGAAUGGGCGAGACUUUGGAAGGAGGGAAGAAUAGAUAGUGUUCCUCUAAUUGUAUCAUGACAUGUUGUGUUUUAUAUAGUGUUCUGAACACACUGAAUAAUCUCUCGAGAGGGAGUGGGAGGGCAUGAGGGUGGAGGGCCUACGAAGGUGGUUUUAUAUUAUUUAUUAUUAUAAAAGUUUAGAGCGUAGUUUUUGAACAGCCGAAUUUUGUUUGAUCCACAUGGCAAUAAAUAAGUAGAGUUGUAAGUCCCCACAUUAGCACUCUAAAAGGUUCUCAAUGAAUUUAGAUAGCAAUGACCAAAUCGAUGUGUGAGAGCAAACAUGACAGACUAAAUUGAUUGAACUAGAUUCCCAAAAUGUAAAAGAACAUUUGGAAUAAAAACCUUAAUUUUAUGACAUCUUUUAUUUUAAAUAUAAAGAUCCAAAUGUUUAACCUUUAUCAGUAAAACUUUAAGGAACAAUCUGAAGUUGAACCAAACUCGAGUUGAGUCAUAAAACGAUAUGAGUUGCUCAUUAGCUUUAUGAGUCAAAUGCAAUAAGGUGCACAUUCGGGAGAUGCUACAAUGUUAUAAUCAUACAAUCUUGAAAGUCAGAUAAUGAUUAUAUUGAAUAUAUAAUUCACAUAGAUUAUAUUUGACCGUUACAGUAAUUAUUUUUAAAUACAUAUAAAUAUUGAAGCCAAAUACAUAAUAUUCUUCAAUCACAUAAAAGUUUUAUAUUCCAAAAUCUCUACCUCUUUUUUGCUGUAAUCUUUCACCAACAUGUAGGAUUCAUAAGGCCCAAAACUUAAUCGUAGGAUUUAACAUUGAGGCCAAACAUUUAUAGGCAUCAGAGAUUAAUAUAUCUGCAACCCAUCCCUCGUCAAUAAUCCGACCUUAGCUCAGUUGGUAGAGCGGAGGACUGUAGUGGGUGACAUGCUCUCAGCCAUCCUUAGGUCGCUGGUUCGAAUCCGGCAGGUCGGAUUUCUUUUUACAAUUUAUUUAUUUAUUAAUUUUUUCUAUUAAAAAGUACAAACAUAUGCAGCUAAGAUUAUACAACCCACGAUCCAGAGAAUCAAAUCCUUUUUUAGGUUAAUGACAAUGAGAAAAUCAAAUGCCAAAUAAUUGCCCAUAUUUUGGUUUGAACAAUACCUAGUUGAGACACAAAAUGGUUUCUAACCAUAACAAAUCAUGGAGAAAUGCUAGCAAACUUUACGUUUGUUUGUACCAUACUUGACCGAUCCUGAAACUACUGAUAGGAGCAUAUUUAUGCAACUUAGUUAAAUUGUUUUCUUGCAUUUUCAUAGUUUAUUUGUGUUUGUUAUAGUGUUUAAGCUAUUUUAGUGUGUUUGUAGGUCCAAAUGACAAAGUUGGCAAGAAAGUGCAAUUUGGAGCAUUUUGGAGCAGUUUUGGGCAUCAAUUGAAUAGCUUAUGAGUGGAGCAAGAUAAAUGGACGAAUUGGAAGUUCAAGAGGCUAGGAAUGUGUUGAAAAGAUGAAGAAAAUAAAUCCAAGACAAAGAAGAUAAGGAAUCAGCUCAAAAGAUGAAAUAUUAUCCAAAGCCUUAUCCAACCUUAUCUUAUCUUAUCCUUGCCUAAUCUAGCCUAAUCUUAUCUUAGCUUAUCCAAAUCAGUUUGUGCCUUAAUUCCAGCUAUUUCUAAGGGAUAAUUAUGCAUUCAAAAUAUAUAUUUCAGAUUCUAGAACCCUUAUCCCUUAGGUGCUGCAUAUAUGCCCUUACCUUGGUGAACUAGGAAUUAUAAUCCUUCUCUAAAAACCAUGUCGUGUAUACUUGUCCAUUUAGGUUCAGAAAUAGGUGUUGGAACAUCCUUUCUAGAAGCUUAAUAUCUGCUGCACCUUUCUAACCUAAUUCUACUUGGGUUUUGAUUGUUUUAACCCAUUCCACUUGGGUUUUGGUUACACAAUCCUUGUUCCAAUUUGAUUUCAGAAACCUAUCCUAAUCCUUAAGGAUUGUGCCGUGGGUUUGCCCUGUAAAUACAAGUUUGUGCUGCACCAUUCAGUUCACCACCCUCUACCACAAUUCACUACACCAUUCACCAUAAAUCCCUCAUUGUGCUGCAACUAAGGAAAGAGAAGAAGGAAGAAACUUGGAGCCGUGCUUGCCAUUCAAGAAGAUUGGAUUGCUGGAGCGUUCUUAGAUUUCAAUGUUUAAUUUAAAUUAUCUUUGUUUAAUUGCGAACAUGAGGAACUAAUUUCUUUAUACUUGGAGGUGAAUUCGAAGCCAUGAUUAUAUGUUUAUAUGAAUUGAUUUCCUCCAGUUAUUGUUUCAUGAAUCGUGAAUGUGGUUUACUUAUCUGUUAUAUUAAGAACUUGUUCUUGUAUGUUGAUUAAGGUGGCCAACUUAGUUUGCAUGCAUGAAUUUGAUGCUAGAGUAUAAGGGAAUUUCACCUAAUCGUUAUGAACUUAUAUUCAUGAGUAGUAAAAGUCGCUAGUCACAAUUGUGUUAAGUAAAUCAUAGGCAAGAGUAACUUGCUUUUCAUAGUUAUGAAUGCCUCGUCAAUACUUAUGGUUUCCAUUGAACUUAAUGAUCUUUGAUAUGUGUCUCUAUCAUGCGUAUUUCAUAGUUAGGGAACUUGAUAAAGAAUAAUUUGGUUGUGAUGCGUUAUCCAUUCAAUUCAAUGAAUCUAGGGAAAUCUGAGAAUUAAUUAGUUCAAUACAAUUAAUUCGGGGCAUUGUCAUUCAUGGUUUGUCGAAAGAAAAACUAGAAAUCAAUUCGUAUGCAUAUGUUUCAUGUGUGGAAAAGGAACCCUCUAACUAGCCUUUCACCCAUUCUAUUUCAUUCAAUUUCGAGUUUUUAAAGUUUGUUCUAUAAGUUUCUGUUUCUAAGUUUUAAACCCUUUUUCUUAAGUCUUGUGUUUAGAGUCAAAACCUGUUUUCUUUUAGUCUUUUGAGUCAAGUUAAGUUUUAUUUUCGUCCAAAUCACUUGUUAGGUCUAGAAUUGAGUCUUUUUUAUUGUUUGUUGCUGUUUUGAGUAUUUUAAGUUAGUUUUGAGUCUAUAGAGUCUAGUUUAGUGUUUUUGAGUCUUAUUUGCAUUGAUUAGUGGCCCUAGUUAAUCCCUAGUCUAGAACGAUCCAUACUUACAUCUUUACUACAAUUGUCAUCAUUAGGGUUUAAUUUGAGUGUCAAGUUAAUUUUCACAUCAAAUUCAUGCACGCAAACUAAGUUGGCCACCUUAAUCAACAUACAAGAACAAGUUCUUAAUAAAACAGAUAAGUAAACCACAUUCACGAUUCAUGAAACAAUAACUGGAGGAAAUCAAUUCAUAUAAAACAUAUAAUCAUGGCUUCGAAUUCACCUCCAACUAUAAAGAAAUUAGUUCCUCAUGUUAGCAAUUAAACAAAGAUAAUUUAAAUUAAACAUUGAAAUCAAAGAUAGAAUACACCUAAGAACGCUCCAGCAAUCCAAUCUUCUUUAAUGGCAAGCACGGCUCCAAGUUUCUUCAUUCUUCUCCUUCCUUAGCUGCAGCACAAUAAGGGAUUUAUGAUGAAUUGUGGUAGAGGGUGGUGAACUGAAUGGUGCGGCACAAACUUGUAUUUAUAGGGCAAAUCCACGGCACAAUCCCUAAGGAUUAGGAUAGGUUUCUGAAAUCAAAUUGGAAUAAGGAUUGUGUAACCAAAACCCAAGUGGAAUGGGUUAAAACAAUCAAAACCCAAAUAGAAUUAGGUUAGAAAGGUGCAUCAGAUAUUAAGCUUCCAGAAAGGAUGUUCCAACACCUAUUUCUGAACCUAAAUGGACAGGUAUACACAACAUGGUUUUUAGAGAAGGAUUACAAUUCCUAGUUCACCAAGGUAAGGGCAUAUAUGCGGCACCUAAGGGAUAAGGAUUCUAGAAUCUGAAAUAUAUAUUUUGAAUGCAUAAUUAUCCCUUAGAAAUAGCUGGAAUUAAGGCAUAAACUAAUUUGGAUAAGAUAAGAUAAGAUUAGGCUAGAUUAGGCAAGGAUAAGAUAAGAUAAGAUAAGGUUGGAUAAGGUUUUGGAUAAUGUUUCCUCUUUUGAGCUGAUUCCUUAUCUUCUUUGUCUUGGAUUUAUUUCUUCAUCUUUUCAGCACAUUCCUAGCCUCUUGAACUUCCAAUUCGUCCAUCCAUCUUGCUCCACUCAUAAGCUAUUCAAUUGAUGCCCAAAACUGCUCCAAAUUGCUCCAAAUUGCACUUUCUUGCCAACUUUGUCAUUUGGACCUACAAACACACGAAAAUAGCUUAGACACUAUAACAAACACAAAUAAACUAUGAAAAUGCAAGAAAACAAGCUAACUAAGUCGCAUAAAUAUGCUCCUAUCAAAUUCCCCCACACUUAGUUUUUGCUAGUCCUCGAGCAAAACGAAACAAACAAAAUAAAACAAAGUAAACAAAACACACUCUAAUCCUUCCAACAUUUGCCUCAGGGAUUUCCAACGCACAUGACAUGUUAAAAAUCAUCAUUCCCAUAGAUUUUAGUCAUCUUCACCCUUGAGCAUAUACUUAAUCAUAGUCACCACUUACUAGUUCACAUUUAACCAAUUAAAACGAUGUUUUGAAUGUAGUAACAUGCCUUAGAGAAUUUGCUCAAUUCCUUAUAAGAUACUCUCUAUUUUCACACACAUUUUCUAACUACACACCCUACACUAGUUAUAUGUGAGAAGAUUGAUAUAAACAUGUAGACAAACACUCACAUAUAUGUAUAACAAAGAAAGCAUUUUCUGGAGUUAUUAAGCAUGCUUAGAUAUGAUCUCAUGAAUGGAAUGCUACUACUUAGACACGAAAACCAGUGACACCAUAUGCUCUCACCAAUUUCAAACUCCACAAAUUGAAACACACAACACUUAAGAUUGAAGUCAAGGGUUGUAACGGGGCUUAAUGGUAUUGGUUAACAAAGAAAUGUAAGGAUAACAAAAGUUCUUAAAGCAAUAGUGAGCAAAGUGAUGAAAUCGACACUUAGAAUUCACUUUAGAAUGCAGAAAUCAACUUUUAAACACAAAGGAAGAUUCAUGCAACACUUAGGGUCAAAUUCAAACUUUUGGAUCCUUUCUUCAACAACCAACACAUGUGAGUUUAUUCUCACUUAUUUCACAACUUUUUUUUUCUUUUUCUACCCGUACCCUAUUUCUUUGGCACACAAAAACACACUUUUGAAACCCUUCCCCCACACUUGUUUUCUACAAUAAUGUUGAUCAAAAGGAAUUCCCUCUAAGUCAUGCUUCACUAUCCUUUAAGAACAAGGGUGUGGGUAGUCCUAAUCUAGGCUAGGUAAGGAUAAUGUGGCUAACAACGAAAAUAGGCUAAUUAAGGCUCAAAAGGGGUUAAACCUACAAAACAAAUGCAUGGGAUGAAGGCUUUCUGGCUCUUGUGGUACUACUAAACAACUUCAUCUUGUUAUAUGUUAUGCACUCAAUUUUAAGCUUUGAAUGAAACGGGCAUGAGUUCUAGUAUUUGGAACUAAGGUGAUAAAACGCAUUCUAAAUAGCAACCAAGCAAAGAAUAAUGAGAUCAUGCAACGACUUUAGAAAACAAGGAAUCACAGAUUAAUAACUCUCCAAAUAAAGUUUAGGCUCAAGUCUCUUAGGGUUGUAGUGUUAGUUUGAGUUCCUUCCUUCAAACAUGUUACAAAAACUGAUUUUUUUUUUCUUUGUGAUUACAUGUGAAUUUGUAAACGACAACUACAACCAAGCAUUAACCAAAGAGCAUAUCAAACUUCCAUCCAUGUUAGUAACUUUCUUUAAUAGUCAUGCAAUUAAAAAUCAAAUCCUCAUCAUUGUAUUAGAAGGUACCCUAAGACACAAACACACAAAAACAACUCAAAAAUGACUCUUUUUGGGUUUUUUCAAAACGUUUUCUACUUCUUUUUUUUUUCAAAAUUUCGUAUUUUCUAUCAAAGACACACUAAAACACUCAAAAACACUCUAAAAACACUUAAAAACAAUGAAAAACAACUCUUGUUAUGCUAGGUGGUAAAAUCUCACGAAUUUGCAAUAAAAACACAUUGUUUACCACGAUCCCUACUUACAUCUUUACUAUAAUUGUCAUCAUUAGGGUUUCAUUUGGGUGUCAAGUUAAUUUUCGCAUCAAUUACUGAGUACCAGUCAACAUUAUACUGUCAAAGAUCAACAAAAGUUUCCUUCCAACCAAGAGGUCAAUCAUAAUGCGACACGUGUCAACACCAAGAGGCCAAGCACAAAGCGACACAUGUCAACAUCAAAGGCCAAUCACAGCAUGACACGUGUCAAGGCCAGAACAAAGCUAGAAACUCUCUUCUAUAAAAGGAGAUCAUUCUCCCACAAUAAUCCCUAAUGUCAUUUGUACUAAAUCAUUCACUAGUACUCACUAAAGGAGAGCUUGAACCUAUGUACUUGUGUAAACCCUUCACAAUUAAUGAGAACUCCUCUACUCCAUGGACGUAGCCAAUCUAGGUGAAC